GCGGUUGUAGUCUAGCUCGGUAGGACAUCAGCUUCCCAAGCUGAGUACCCGGGUUCAAAUCCCGGCAACCGCACCA
rnacentral:tRNA from 1 species